rnacentral:rRNA from 1 species
UACGUAGGGGGCAAGCGUUGUCCGGAAUCACUGGGCGUAAAGCGCGCGCAGGCGGCGGUCUACGUCCGGGGUGAAAGCCCAGAGCUCAACUCUGGGACUGCCUUGGAUACGGGAUCGCUUGAGGAUCGGAGAGGCAAGGGGAAUUCCACGUGUAGCGGUGAAAUGCGUAGAGAUGUGGAGGAACACCUGUGGCGAAGGCGCCUUGCUGGCCGAUUUCUGACGCUGAGGCGCGAAAGCGUGGGGGAGCAAACAGG